GUGGGCAUAGUUCAGUGGUAGAGCACUUCCCUAGCAUGGGAGAGGCUCUGGAUUCAAUUCCCAGUGCUACA
rnacentral:tRNA from 1 species